UACGUAGGUGGCAAGCGUUGUCCGGAAUUAUUGGGCGUAAAGAGCGCGCAGGCGGUCGUUCAAGUCGCGUGUGAAAGCCCCCGGCUCAACUGGGGAGGGUCACGCGAUACUGAUCGACUGGAAGGCAGGAGAGGGUAGUGGAAUUCCCGGUGUAGUGGUGAAAUGCGUAGAUAUCGGGAGGAACACCAGUGGCGAAGGCGACUACCUGGCCUGUUCUUGACGCUGAGGCGCGAAAGCUAGGGGAGCAAACGGG
rnacentral:rRNA from 1 species